CGCACAGCGUACUCUCUGUAACUGAAGCUUGCGGAGGACGGCCCGCUCCCCUGGAAAGCCCCUGUGGCCGCCCGGGGCUGCGAGCCCCCCGGCCCCCCUCGCGGGGGCGCCCGCCGGAGGAUACCCAACUCUUGAUUAUUUUAGGCCUCUCUGAGUCUUCUGUACUGAAUAAGUCAAAACUUUCAACAACGGAUCUCUUGGUUCUGGCAUCGAUGAAGAACGCAGCGAAAUGCGAUAAGUAAUGUGAAUUGCAGAAUUCAGUGAAUCAUCGAAUCUUUGAACGCACAUUGCGCCCGCCAGUAUUCUGGCGGGCAUGCCUGUUCGAGCGUCAUUUCAACCAUCAAGCCCCAGGCUUGUGUUGGGGACCUGCGGCUGCCGCAGGCCCUGAAAUCCAGUGGCGGGUUCGCUGUCACCCCGAGCGUAGUAGCAAUAUCUCGCUCAGGGCGUGACUGCGAGAGCAUCCGGC
rnacentral:rRNA from 1 species